AUAUGGGAACGCUUUGUGGAAGCCUGAGUGGGCAGGAAGGGACCCCAUUAUCUGGAGAGAUGGGAGUUGAAAGACACAGAACACUGAAUGGGGGCAUCAACACUAGGCAUUUUGGUUGACCGCUGGCCCAACCGAUCUACAAAACCGAAGUUUCAGGUUUUCUUGAGAGAGGCAAGUUCCCCUUCAACAGAUUUUAUAUUCCUGAAUUUAGAAGAGGGAAGAAGAAAGUCAAGACCAUUUGAAAAGGACUAAUUAUAACAGCUUCACCUUUGAAUUGACACUAAGUGGGUGGCAGAGGUGGAAACACCCUUAUAACUUUAAUAUUUUCAGGUCUAUAAUAUGGCAAAGGGGUAACAAACAUAUUUUUAGCACGUAGCAUAUUGACAGCCACUGAUUUGAAAAUAAGUACAGAUUGCAAAUCCCACUGGUCUCUUGAUGUCUAAGAUGAGAGCUUUUCAAGUUAUCUAAAUAGCCUUUGGCUUUCCCUCAGGGCCUCUCCUGAACAACUACAAGGGAAAUGAAGCUUCCCACUCUCCUCUUGAUAUGCUAAGCCCUGCAACAUUAUGUGAAUCUCCUUCUAUCCCAGGUCAUCCAUUUUCUCCCUUUGUCACCUGAUCUCCAGGAGGUGGCCCACCAGGAACACACCCUCACCUCAGGCCCCUCUGUGGUCCCACCUCUUCUCUCUCUCCAAGUUGUUCUCUCCCCAGCCCUUCUGUCAACACCACCUACCUGCUGCCAUGUUCCAUUUUCUUGGGUUCUUGCUCUUCUGUGUCCCCACUGAUGCCCAGCUGUUUUAUACCUCUCUAGAGCAUCGUUACCUGUCAACACCAGGCUUGUGUACACACACAGGUGGAAAGUUUCUACCCUGUAGAGGUUCGUGUGAGGAUAUUUUGGGGACUUCUCCAAAUGUUGGUGAUUGCCUUCAUCCUUCACCAGCACUGGGUAGUCCUCCUGGCUUCUCUUGGUCCAGAAUACCACUCACACAUCUGAGGCACAAGGACCCAUAUUAAGUACAGGAAUACUUUGGAGAUAUUGUGGAUUUGGUUCCAGGCCACUGCAAUAAAGCAAAUACCGCAAUAAUGUGAGUUAAAUUAGUUAAUUAAAUUAAUUAAUUAAUUAAAAAGUAGUUUAUUGAGGGGCGCCUGGGUGGCUCAGUUCGUUAAGCGACUGCCUUCGGCUCAGGUCAUGAUCCUGGAGUCCCGGGAUGGAGUCCCGCAUCGGGCUCCCUGCUCGGCAGGGAGUCUGCUUCUCCCUCUGACCCUCCUCCCUCUCCUGCUCUCUGUCUCUCAUUCUCUCUCUCUCAAAUAAAUAAAUUAAAAAAAUCUAAAAAAAAAAAAAGUUUAUUGCUAAAAAGAUGCGAACCAUCAUCUGAGCUCUCAGUGAGUCAUAAUCACUGAUCACAGAUAACAAACACAAUAAUAACAAAGUUUGAAAUAUUGUGAGAAUUACCAGCAUGUGACGCAAAGACAUGAAGUGAGCAAAUGCUCUUGGAGAAACGGCGGAUAGCUUUGCUUGAUGCAGGGUUGCCACAAGCCUUUGCUUUGUGAGGAACAUAGUAUCUGUGAAGUGUGAUAAAGUGCAACAAAAAACAUGCCUGUACGGCUUUGUCUACACUUAAGUAAUGAGGAAGCUUGGAAGUAAUCGCCUGCUGGUCCUUUUACUCUUUCAUUUCCUGAAGAGAAGAGGGCAUGUGACCACGAAGGCAGAGAGAGUGGUGAUGCCACCACAAGACAAGGAAUGCUGACAGUCACCAGAAGCUGGAAGAGGCUGGAACGGAAUCUCUCCAAGACCACCCCCAGUGGGAGUGUGGCCUUGCCAACACCUCGAUUUCAGCUCAGGGAAACUGAUUUUGGACUUCUGGCCUCCACAACGAUCUGGGGCUGUGUACCUGGCAUCUACUAAGUCCCAGUGAAUGAUUACUGAUUCGAAGCAUCACCAAGAGGGGGCUGACAUCAGUCUGCUUCUCCUGACUCACGUUAGAAAGGUUUUGACUAAUUUGACUGCUUGUGGUACAUCUGGCCUCACAGAGAUGUUUUAAUAAUACAUGCAAGUAUAUAUGAUUCACAUCCUCUGAUUUUGUUAUUUUGCGGGUAAAUUACCAGUUGGGAAAUGGGUGCUCUUUUAUUCUAAGGCUUAGGGAGGCCUUGGAAUUCAUCAACAUGUGUUGUAUGACUUUUUAAGGCUUCGAGCUCUGGAGAGUCAGAAAGAUCUCUGAGAACAACACAGGUCUUCUCAAAGAAUUCAAUUCUGUCUGGAGAUAAUAGGAGGUGAUUAAGUGCUGAAUUGUGAGUAAAGAGAUCUACCAUGUGCACACAGUAGGUGCUCCAUGAAGACUGGCUCACUGAGCCCUAUGUGAAAUAGGAAGAAGACAGCUGGUAAGAGAGGGUUAUUUCCAUGUCUGACAUGACGCCAACCAUUCUGGUGUCUAGCCUUCUGUUUUAUACAAAGAGUAAACAAGGUUCUACCGAUUUUGAGGCUCAGGGGAAAAUUUCAGAAAAAUUUCAGAGACUUACUUUAGUAUCUCUCAGAGUUGCCUGUCAUGGAAAGGCAUUUCUCACUUCUUUGAAGGAGGCUGUUAAAUUUUUAUAGAAUCUUUUCUCUGAAGAGUUCACAUACCAAGAUUUACGUAUGUAUCAAGGACAUGAUUUUAUUUACAUAUUUUAAAUUUGUCAUUCCCUUGAAAACAGAUCAGGGAAUAAUAUUUUGUAUAAUUUAAUGUUUAGGACCAGGAGAUUUCCCUAAAGGACUUCAUACCCGGGGGUUACCCCAUGAGGCAGGGAUCUGACUCAGCACCAUGAAAGGCGUAGGAAAUGGGCCCUAGGACGAAGUGUGCAGACAAUUGGCAUGAAAGAGUUUUCUUAAGCUUGGUUCUGUGUUGUGGCCUAUACACCAAGCAGAAGUGACACAAAAGAAGAAAGAAAUGAAAAUUGUUCUACCCCUCAAGGUGUUUGCAGCCCAGCAGGGGAGGCAGACGUAGAAAUAAAAGGUGCGGAGGCUCUGGAUAACCUUAGGCUAAUUUGAAAGCCCAGUGGUGGAAACUAUCACCUCAAGGUUAUUUGCCAUGUAAAGUGCUGGGAGAAUGACCCCAAAGGGGGGCCUCAGAACCAUUCCUCUGAACAGGAGGGGAGCCCUGGGGAUGCCAAUCAGCAGCUUGUCCAGAACGGCAGAUCCUGGUCCCUCAGGUUUGUGGCCUCCAUAUAGAGACCUCAGGCUCCUGUUUGCCCAAUUUGGGGCCCCCUCUGUCCCCUCAGCAUUUUGAAGUGGGGGACGAGGUCCCAGGAUGUUCACUGAGCCUUGGUUCAUGGGCGAUUUCCUGUAGAUACCAAGUGGCUGAACUGCGUGUGGUGCCCCAGGCAGGACCUCUCUUGUUCCUUCUCCUGGGGAUAGUCAAGCAUAGUUUCCCUCACUUCCUUGCAUGGCUGGGCGUGGGGCUAGGACGACGAAGAUGCUCAUGCUCCUGGGCCGGGAGGACGUGGCCAGCUCCACCCCAGGCCUGUAGGAGAAAUCCCCUCUCUCUCCUUCUUUUGCUAGGACAGCAUUUCCUUGAGUUUGUCAUCAGUGAUAAAAUCUGGAAGGCUGAGAUGAGGACAGGGCAAGAGGCCGAGUGACGGUUAGGCCUGCUUUUGUCUUAGGCCUUCGGCCUGCCUGCACCUAUAACGCUCAGCCUACCUGACAGAGGGAAGCUCUGUUGAGCUCUGGAGCAAAAGCCACAGGAGGAGGCCCCUCGAGGGCUCAGGGAUGCUGAGUUCCAAACCGUAACCCAGCUGCCGCUCCUGGCAAGUCUGAACAAAACGGUGAGAAAGGGGGUGGCAAAAAUGGAGUCCUCCGCCGAGUGUGAUGUGAACAAUUGAGGGAUGGUUGCUAUAGCUGCAAGUCUAGAAAAACCUUAGAUCAAUAAAAGAAGAUGCCUUCUCCAGAAGGUGGUGGCACACACUAGAAGUCAUAGCCACCAGCGAUUUCCAUGUAACUAGGAUCCCUUGAGGAAAGUCUAGGAAAAACCAGGACCUUCUCCCUGACUGGAGCUCGCCACUUCUGGCGCAGAUGAUGCUGUUCCAGCCAGGGCUCUAGCAGCAUAAACUAUCCCGUGGCUGUCUGGAAAUCUUCCCCAAUGGGCUCUUAUUCUUUGAGUGGUCCCUUCCCUUCUUCCACCUCCCCCUUGGCGCCUCCCCCCUCCCCCCACCCCCCUAGCUUGGAUUUCUGAACAUGAGUCUAGAGAAUAAAAUCGGAGAUUGUUUACACUUUCUUAUGCAACCUAAAUCUCACUUGGCUAGAGAGGCGUGUACAAAAAAUACAUUCUUUUUUUGCUUGAAUGUUUUAGACUUUAACCAGUUAUUACUGUUGGACUGUCUGGAAUCAGUAAUGAUAGGUACCAGUGAAAUAAAUUAUAGGUGAAAGUAGGACCAAGUAUCAGAAGGACACAGUUCCCAGGACAAGUGCAAUGGAAAGAACGAGAGUCUGAUGCGUCACUGCCUCAGCCCUCCAGCAACAGUAAGUGAGGAGCUGGAAUUCUUGACACAGGAUCAGAAAGUGGUUGAGGCUUUUGGGCUGAAUUAGACAUUUUACACAUAAGUAAGCAAGUAGGGCGAGGUUCUUCCCAAUAAUUGCCGGGGAGGGUUAUUAUCAACCCCAAUGAAACAAACAUAUUAACAUAUUAAUGCCACGAAUCAGCUUCUGACGGGGGCAUCCCUAGGGAAAACUGAAAGUCAAGGUAAUCCAGGUGCUUUUCAACAGGAACCCAGCGGCUCAGUCCUUUGCACGUGUGGCGCCCUUAAAAAGACAGGUUCCCAGGCCUCCUUUAGACCCCUUAGAGUUUCUGUAGCUCCCCAGGUGAUUCUGAUGUAUGGCCAGCUUAAGAGCCAUUGGUGUAAGCUGUGGGUGGGAGAGCUACUCUUCCCAGACUUUUGUCAAAAUUCUCUCCAUUACCAAGGAAAGGGGUGAGUCUGGGGGCUUUAAGUCUUGAUUCUUAGGGGCCCGCACGUAAUCUCUUCUGCUGGAUAAGUGGGUGUAACAUGGACAGUCCACAGCAAAAGGACCAGAGACAGGAUUAGAAAGAGCCGCUGCUCUUCCGUAUUGAUGGACUUGACUUUCUCUCCUUGGAGAAAAGCAUGGCAGGCAAAGGCAGUGCACUUAUGUACUAGACCUUGUUCUGGGAACUUGACAUAAAAUCUCUCUUAUAAUCUUUACAAAUGGGUCUUUUUGUCUCCCACUUACAUACGAGAAAGCUGAGGCUCAGCGGAGUGAAGGAGUUUGCUCCAGGGCUGGAUAUGCUAUACAGCUGGGGUUCGAACCACGGCCUGUCUGACUCCUCCUCUCAAAGCUUCACCUCAGAACACACGAAUCCUGCUUGCAAAGUUCAGCAGCGAAGACAUGUUAAAGCCGCCGGGAAGACUUUAAGAGGAGUUGAGGGGCAGGCGUUUGCUUCCAACAGCUGGGAAGCAUGAUAGAAUCAGCUGCAUGGUUAGGGGAUGGCCCUCGCAGCCCUGUCCCAUCUUCCUGGAUUUGGGAGCCAGCAACAGGGAAGUGCCAAUGCUCCUGUGACUUGCCUUCCCAAGAGACUUUUGUCCGGUGGAGCUGCGGCUUUGGCGGAAGAGACAGCCGAGAGCAGGGAAAAGCAAUAAGGAGUGAAGAGCAGAAGGGCUUUCUCCAUAGAUCCCUGUGAACUCUGAUCUCCUUGGGAUUUAAGGAAACUGCCCUCGCUGAAGUCCAGCGUUCCUUGUUCUUGUUAACAUUCAUGAAAUGAAAGAGCCACACAUCUUAGAGGACCUCAGCUAGACGGCGUCUCUGGAAGGCCCGAAUUCUGGAAUAGGAGCUGGUCCCAGUCCUCAAAGGAUCAAGCUAUUGCAAGAGGGAUCCUGGCCCUGGCCAAAAUAAAUCAUGGUGCGUAUCCGUCUGUUUAGCUUCUUGAAGACUUGUGUCAGAGCUCAGAAGAAGGAGCUUUCCUGGAUGCUGGGGUAAUACCAGAAGGAGGCGAUCUGGAGCUGGAUGCGAAGAAAGGGCGGAUGGAGGAGACAGUCUGGCUGUGAGACUGGCUGGUGCGGAGAUGGCCCCACUCAAAUAACCCACAGAGUCCUCAGCAAAUGCUUGGCCUGCAAGAAAUUGCUGCCCACCACAGUCUCUUCACAGGCUGUACAUUACAGUGAGCUGGGCCGAGGCCCUAAGAAAAGGGGGUCCUGGGAAGGCUUCUACCAGGUAGAAGGCCCUUAGGUCCCUCACCUUGUGUAAAGUCUUCGUACAUCAGCCCUGAUGCUUACUAGCCCCCUGACCUGGGGUAGCUUUCUCUACCAUUUUAUGCCACAUUUUUGUCUGUAAAAUGGGGAUUAUGCUUACUGUACAGGGCAGUGAGGAUUAGAUGGGUUAAUACGUGUAAAGCACAUGUUUAUGAACAGCACUGUCUAGAGUAAAUGAUCAAUAAAAUGUAAACUAUUAUUAUUAUUACUAUUAUUAAUUUCACUUCAUUGAAUCCUCUCAUAACCCAAAGAGAUAGAAGUGAUUAUUUCUGUUAAGGCAUAGUUUCACAUGGAUAAAUUCACGAGUCUCAUGCAAUUAUAAAAGGAACACAUAUCAAAGAUUUUAGUUAGCUCGUUAAUUAAUGAAAGAACCA